CAGUGCUAUAUGGGGAGCUAGCGGUGCCCUGUAACCUGCAACCCGCUACAGCAGGAUAGACCACCCACCGAGGCACUAUUUAUGGAAAGACGGCAAGUGUAAGGGAUGUUGAUACCAAGGUCUUGUGCAACUUUGCGUUGUGAACCGUGUCAGAGUUUGAUCGCAGCAGCACUAAGCAAUUAGUAGAGUGUGCCACAAGGAAGCUUUGAGGGAGUUACCUACAGGAGAUACGAUUCGGUAAAGGUUGUCAGAGUGGGCGCACUU
rnacentral:SRP_RNA from 1 species